rnacentral:rRNA from 1 species
CCUACGGGUGGCAGCAGUGAGGAAUAUUGGUCAAUGGGCGCAAGCCUGAACCAGCCAAGUAGCGUGAAGGAUGACGGCCCUACGGGUUGUAAACUGCUUUUAUACGGGAAUAACGCGCCGUAUGUGUAGGGCUUUGCAUGUACCGUAUGAAUAAGGAACGGCUAACUCCGUGCCAGCAGCCGCGGUAAUACGGAGGGUCCGGGCGUUAUCCGGAUUUAUUGGGUUGAAAGGGAGCGUAGGAGGGAUGUCAAGCGAGAUGUGAAAUGUCCGGGCUCAACCCGGGCCUUGCAGCGGAAACUGGCGUGCUUGAGUCCGCGAGAGGCAGGCGGAAUUCGUGGUGUAGCGGUGAAAUGCUUAGAUAUGACGAAGAACCCCGAUUGCGAAGGCAGCUUGCUGCAGCGGAACUGACGCUGAUGCUCGAAAGUGCGGGUAUCAAACAGGAUUAGAUACCCGAGUAGUC